rnacentral:rRNA from 3 species
GCGACCCCAGGAUGGGCGAGGCCACCCGCCGAGUUUAAGCAUAUCAAUAAGC